rnacentral:misc_RNA from 1 species
UUGAAGCUAGUCUGUUCGCAUGGGAGAAAUCUCGUGCGAUGUCAGAUAAUAUCUAGCGACCCUUGAAUAAACUACCUUUGUUGCUUUGGCGGGCCGCCGCUCGGCCAGCGGCUUCGGCUGCUGCGUGCCCGCCAGAGGACCACAACUCUUGUUUUUAGUGAUGUCUGAGUACUAUAUAAUAGUUA